rnacentral:lncRNA from 1 species
UGUAUUUACUAAAAGUAUGUAGAUAUUGUAUAAUUCCAUUCAUAUGACAUUUGAAAAAUGAUCAAACUAAAGAUCUGGAAAACAUGUCAAUGGUUACCAGACGUUAGAGGAAGAUCGAGGUGGUCAACUAUUAUGGGGAUGCAAUGGGAGAUUUUAAGUAAGAUAGAACUUUUCUACACGGGACUGGAGUGGUGAAUACAAGAUGUUACGCAUUUGUCAAAAUCUGUAGAUUUGUACAUUAUAGAGACUGAACUUUAAUAAAUGCAAAUGAAAAAAUGAACCAGGAUGUUGCGGAAUCUCAGGAGGGAAUGCAGACUCAGACAAAUGAACCAAACUGUAGUACGAUAUAUCACAAAUCUCACUGAAGAGGGAGAAAAAAAAGAUAAGUAACUUUGGAAAAGAGGUUUCCACUUGGUAAGGUUAAGACUAAAAGGAUCAAGCCCUGAGGAUGUGUCUCCCCAAAUUAAAAAUCCUGAUGCCUUGGAUCGCCUCAUGUGUACGUCACCCUGAAAUGUCUUCUUACCUCUAUCCAGUUUUCGUCUAUGUUCACACACCUCUGAAUCCUCCUGCUGUCCUUAGACAUACUACCUUCUCUUGGGUGGUCCCCAUGCAAGAACUGUUGGAUGUGGAACUGUAAA